rnacentral:rRNA from 1 species
UACGUAGGGUGCAAGCGUUAUCCGGAAUUAUUGGGCGUAAAGAGCUCGUAGGCGGUCUGUCGCGUCGGCUGUGAAAACUCGGGGCUCAACCCCGAGCCUGCAGUCGAUACGGGCAGACUAGAGUGCUGUAGGGGAGACUGGAAUUCCUGGUGUAGCGGUGAAAUGCGCAGAUAUCAGGAGGAACACCGGUGGCGAAGGCGGGUCUCUGGGCAGUAACUGACGCUGAGGAGCGAAAGCGUGGGGGAGCGAACAGG